UUUCACAUGAGAUUGUUUCCAAUUCCAUUAUCGAAAAUAUACUAAUUUUAGGCAAACAAAUAAUUUUGGACACAAAAAUUAAGGUUUUGGUUGCGGUUAUAAGGAAUCGGAAUUUCUAUGCAAACAAAAACUGUUUUGGAUGCAGAAUUGAAUUUUUUUGAUGUAAUAAUUUGGAAUUUGGUGUGUUUAGAAAUUUUUUCAACAUUUAUGCGGUUAUUUUCCUCUGUAAUCCAAAAACAAAACCCAACUAAACUCAAAAUUUGCAGUUGUUAUCAAAAUUCAAUCUGGAAAUACUAAUCGAAUUGGAAACUAAUCUACAUAGAAUUUAAAAUUUAAAUAACAUUCGAACUGGUACUAAAAGCCACGCAUCUAAAUUUUACAUUUUAUAUAAGAAUCGAACUGGAAAUUAUUGGUUUCAAGGAUUUGACAAGAUUUAA